ACUGUGAAAACAAACAGAAAUUUUGAAAACGAUUCCCAGGGAAAACAGAUUAGUCAUAGAAAGGUGUCUGCGUACCUCAGACGGCUGUGAAACGCCAGGAAGGAGCAAACAGUCUCUCAAAGGCAAGGUGCUACGGAUGUUAGAGGGCCCAUGCUUUUUCUAGCCCGGUGCGGUGACACGGGGUAUGAUGGAGGAAUUGACAUUGUGUGUUUGUCUUUCAUCACUUUCUAGGUUCAUUUUAUGGACUGUUUUGUAACUGUUUUAUCUUUGAUAUUCGUUUUGAUUUACACUCUUUUUUUAUAAGAACCAGUAAAUUUCAGUUCAGGCUGACUGUUCUUAAUUUUUUCGAAAAUCUGAGGCUGGAUUGUUCUUAAUUUGUUCUUAAUCUAAUAGGGUGUAAGCAGUGCGAGUGCUAGCUUUUUCGCUCUAGGGAGGUGUUCAGGCCUCAUUUGCCAACAAAGUGAGUGAGACAACCUUCAUUUGCCGAAAAGUUUGAAUAUUCGACGAAAAAGCACCACUCAUCGCUAAAAAUCCUCGAUUUUGAGAAAAACAUUGUUCAAAAUUGCAUUUUGCAGAAGCUCAGCCUCAGCUUGUUCUUAAUUUGUUCUUAACUUUUGACCAAUUUUGAGGCUCGUGUUCUUAUAAAAUUGUUCUUAUAAAAAAAAGAGUGUACUUGUUUUCUGGGGUCAAUAACACGCUGCUUGUGUUUCUAGGAUUAUGUUCCAUUUCUAAGGGCCCGUUUACAAUACCCGGUUUCAAAUGAAAACGGAGUUAAACUAAUCCGUUUUUCCUUGCGUUCACACUACUCUGCUAUGAAAACGGAGUCGUUUGAAAACGCUAAUGAAAACGGAUACUUUCGAAAACGGUGCAUAUUGAAUACGCUCCGUUUUCAGUGUGAACGCCAAAAACGGAGACAUUUGAAUACGCUAACAAAUUACGUGCUUUGUAGCGCACCAAAUCUAAAAAAUUUUGAAAUUGAGAAUUCACAAUGGACUGGUAGCUGUUACAACAAAGUUUUUCACGAUUUGCUCUCAUUUAAUUUCAUUUAUAAUGACGUCAAUUUGUUGAGGAUUCGUGAACGCCUCUUUCCAAAAAUGAGGCCAUCAUAUUCAGAGCGUAUUCAUAUGAAAACGGAUUAGUGUGAACAGACAGCGUUUUCAUCAACGAAAACGGAGCGAAACGAAUACGCAGUAGUGUGAACGUAGUCUAAGAAUGUUCGAUGUUUUGCAACUGUGACCAGCUUUGAAAUGUUUCUGUAGGUGCAAUGAUAACUGUAAAUGGUUUUCAAUAAUUGUAAAAAAAACCAGCGGUUGAUCUUGCAUAAAUUCUGUGGAAAGUGGUCCUUGUUACCAAGGCUACGUGUAUUAAUAAGACAACAUGACUGUUCGAUUUCAAGAAAACGUGGGCCUACAAAGGUACAGAGGAGAACAAAAGAAAUGUGGCAUACCUCGUAUUAAAUUUAUAACGGUUCCUUGACUGAAUUUAAGACGAAAUAACAGGGAAGAGCGCACAAAAACAUGAAGAGGAAAGGUCGCUUCAAAAACUAUUCCAUUUUGAUCAAGUUAUCAUGCAUAUCUUGUUGAAAUGGAGUAAACUCGCUUUUUAUUUGUGGCACGUCACAAAUACAUAAUGAGUUGAGUAAAAAUAUGAAAUUGAGGCAAACGAACUUACCGAUUGCAGAACUUAUAUUGAACACUUUGAGGCCGCAAUCUUGCAAUCAAAACCAAAGUCAUACAUUAUGGAGCAAAACAAAUGCAGAAUAAUGUCUGAGAAAAGAAACGCCCUUUAUGUUUAACAACCAUUAUGACCAGGACAAUACAAUAGCAGGCCACAAAGGAAAUAUUUUAGGGCCUUUUGAAACACGGGAUUCCUUUGAAGAACGUUGCGUCAACGAGCAAAAGCAGGGGUUACGUCAUCGUGUGGACGUGAAGCAACUGCUGAAAAAUUUUCACGGAACAGAUGUAUUCAAAUUAAAACCGUUCAUGAGCAAUUAACCUUUAAUCACCGAAUCAUGAGAAUGGGCGACGUAUAACCCGCCAGUAUCCAGUGAUAUGCCAAUAGUGGUGACGUAGGCCUUCAUUCGGUAGAUCAAAAAAUAUUAUAAGGUAUAAAGAUAUUGGGGAAAUUCUCCUAAAUGCUGGGGAUACGACAUGUCAAUACAAUUCAUAGUCUACAUAGGAUUCAUUUUCCUGGAAAGGUUUCAAUCACUUCUCCAAAUUUCUUCAGUUCUUUAGUUCUCCAAAUUUAUUCAGUGAAAGUCGACAAUCGACAGUUUGCAUAAACAUACUCAAGUAAGGAAUUUGUCCCUUUAAAAAUGUUAGGACUAAGUUCUUUCGGCUAGAACAAUACCCCAGCCAUUAAGAUCAACUUAAUAAUUUAAUUUGGUGGCUUUUAUUUCCUUCCUAGAUGCAUAAUGCAACCUCCUGUAUAAAAAUAGAGCAAUGCCCUCUCCUUUUCUUGAAUCAUCGAUUGAAAAUAAGCCCAAACUCACGUGAUUAUCCUCAGUAACCACGCUGCUUUGAUUAGAGAGCAGUUCUAUGCCAAAUAUGGGAAUCGAUAUGAAUGACACGGUGACGUUAUUAUGCAAAGUGAUUCGGGGUUGUUAUCCGUGUCAUUAAAAGAUUAUUUGUUAUGAUUCCCUUUUUUGACAAUCCUUUAACUUUCAACAAGCCCGACGAAAGGGGGAGCAGAUUGCCUUAAACGUUUUAACAAAGUUCUUAACAACAACAGCAACAAUAACAAUCACAGACUUCAUGACGUCAUCACAGGCCUCAUCUAUCCUUAUUGCCCCGGGCCCCAGAGGAGCUCUCGGCAGGCCUAAAGUUCAAAAAAUUUGCUUAUUCUUUCUUUAAACAUGCUGAAAACAGAAUAUUGAUUGUAGGCAUCCUAAAUAAACGAGAAAAAAUGACGCCCACCAGCUCACAGCUUAUAUAUUAGUUGUGUAAUCAAGACUAGUCGUGACUUAGAGAGAAGAUAGUAUUUCAGGAACAAAACUGCCAUUGCUGAUGUGCCACUAGUUGCAAAACAUCUGGGACAGACGAGCGAUUGUCUUAUGGUCUACCGAAAAAAUGGGGGUAAAGAUGAAAAGGGGUAGGACUGGAAGUGACAAACCAACUUAGGGCCACGCCCUUUAUAGCGAUAGAAGACACUUGAAUUUGAAGAUUCUAGCAUUGCAAUUUUGUAAAGUGAUUCCAAGGCUCGUGAGGGAUGUUAAGAUCCAGUAAAGUCAGCAAUUUUAAGGUAGAACUGAUACGGUUAAUCAUUUUAGGUUUAUCGGAAUUAUCAGGGACGCAUAGAAGACUUGACGAUGGAUACUAAUUCAGGGAACAAUUGUUUGCACAGUCAGUGAGUCUACGUAUUUCCUUUGUUCAAGAAUUUCCUAAUUUUGGGUCAUUUUCCAGAUAACUUUCGAAGAAUUUAUCCGGAAAUUCAGAGCAUCUUCAAGGAAAUUCUUGAUUCCCAUCCCAAAGCCACAAAUAAUGGGCUUCUUGGCGAUAAAAUCAAAUGAAAAAUUCCUUCAACGCCGGUCAUUUGAAAAGUCAUGAUAGGUUUUGGCUUUGGAUUGCGGAAUUCUCUUGGAUUACGUCAGAUAACGAUUGCCCCCCGUCCUAAGGGGUGCGUAUUUGCAACAAAUUAACGUAGCCAAUAUGACUCUACUGAAAUCCUGGGCCAUAUGAGAGUACCAUAGAGAUAUUAUCCUAUCUAUAAAGACAAUUUUUAGGUUGGAUUCACUAAUAUAGAUAAUUUCGUUUAUCGCUAUAAUUAUUCAUAAAUCUUCGAAGUUGAAAACAUUCGUCGAGUAAAAUCGUCAUACGGUAAACCUUUCCUUGGGCGUUCAAAAAAUUAUUGCCCCCAAGAUGAGGGGCGUUUAAAAAAUUACCUACCAGACGAAAAUUGUUCGGUUUCGUGGAAACCAUCAUGCAAAAAGUUUCAAGAGGUAGCUGCGAAGGAGAUUCCAUGUAGACGAAACUGGUGAUUUGCUGAGAUCAGGUGACAUGAUUGUGAAAGGGGCAAAAGAGUCGAAAAUUGGUGAAAUCGAACGGUUGGUGAUCUUAGUAGAACAUUGGAAAAUUGACCCCAGUUCUCUGGUUACUCAGAGUAUCAUGGAAAGCCAAAGAAAUAUGUUAUUAUGUUUCAAAACGCAGUAAUAACACUUUGGUUAAUUUAAACUGAAAUAAAACAAUAGGGAGUUGUUUUUGGGCAAGGACCUGUGUGAGAGCUGAAAUAUAUUCAAAUUGCACGGCUCUGUUCAUUUGUUGUUUGAGUAAAAAGGACAUCAUUGAAAUAACUCGCUUGAGAAACUGUUUGCAUUUACAAAACAUAGCAUUGACGUGACUAAGAUGUGGGCUCAAAUGAGGUUGUAAAGCUGGGUCUAUGGUAUUCCUAGGGAAAGUAGCUGGUCCUUGCAAAGUCGUGCACAGUUACAGCAUGCACAAGCGGAAGAAAUCCGCAGCGUUUUCCAAGAAAGGUUUUCGUUUUCUAAUAGCGAAAGAUACUCGAGAGAAACAAGUAGAAACAACGGGGUUUCAACUAAAAGCUCAGGAAAUUUGUUUACGUUUGCUAAGAAUAUUUCAAAAUUCCUUGCAGUGACAAACGAGUCUGAAACAUUUAAUUAUAAACAUUUCUAAAGACUCGUGACAAGGCAAAAAACAUGAUACAAACUAAAUCGACAAAUCCCAAAAAGUUUUAGCUAAGUUUGCAGAUGCUCAAAAGCAAAGCAAAUUCUUUGGCAAGCAUGCAACGUGGCAACAGGAUCGCGAUCCCCUGGCGCAGUAUUGAUGCAGUCAUGCCAAUAUAAUGCAAACAACAAUGCAAGCAGAAAUAAGCAAGAGAAGCGAGCCAAUCUCAAAGUCAAACAUCAUACUUACAAAUGUAGUACUCUUAAAGGCAGCAGAAUUCAUAGGUUGUGAAUGCAAGCAAGUUGUGGGCAUGUGCAGUGCUAUCCAAUUUCAAAGUGUCUUCUAACCUUGUUUUGCUUUCUCUUCUUAGCAAAAUUUUAUGGAUACAAGGUACUGUCACUUUCACAAUCACCGACAUCUUGCAACCCCCGUCUGUUACUACAAAUAACACAGUCGGAAUGUGGGAUUCCGCGAAUUGUUCAAGGGAAUACCCCACACAGACGAUGAUCCACCAGUCAAAACAAGGAUAGAAGGAAUCACCACAGAGAGAAUGAUUAAAUUCUUUUAUGACUGAUUUAAACUACAAACAUGUAAUGAGCGGAGGAGGUUGGAGGAGGGAAAAAAUGUUCAAAAACAUGAUGCUCCAUUGUGCAUAAAAUUUUUUUUGAUUUACUACAAUUUUCCUAAAAUUUACUUAAAAUUGGAUGUUACCUCUCAAUAAAGUUGUGGCUCACAAUCUGUUGCAAAAACGGAUCGCCACUUCAUUGGCGGUAACAAAAUGUUUUUUAACCUAGACUGUGUCUCAACAAUGAAAGCUCUAAAAAAUGAAGCAAAACGAAAGAGAAAGAUCACUGUAAGGUCGAAAAAAAAAGUUUUUCCUUUAAUGAAGUCUUUUGAUUUAGUUAGCAAACUACGAAGCCCUCUCGAAUUUCUAAUAAAGCGGUGGGAAAGCGAAGGAGGAGGCUCUUAAGUUUAAUUAGCUGAGCUAAACGAGAGAGCAUUUAACGGGGUUUGAAAACUUAGGGGCGUUUAAUAUAACAUUUGCUGAGUGAUCACAAUUUAUUCAUCAUUAAACAUGGCAGCAUGGUCUGAUACCCAGUGUGACUUUGGUUUUAACCAAGUCAGUGUUCGCCCCCACUGCGGGAGGGGAGAAGCACAGCUUGUAUCUACUUACUGACCAAUCAAAGCUAUCGAAUUACUAGCAAUUCAUUGGACAACUGAUAUCGAGACGAGCAACUAUGAAUCCCCGAUUUAAUACGGGGGAUGUCCCCGAACGCCCAAGAUCUGAAAUGGCACAGAAACUUACAUCUUCAUUAUUAUCAUCAUCAUCAAUUAAAUUAACUAAAGUACAAUCUAAUACUUAAAAAAGCUUUUUACAUCUAAAUGACAAAUUAGAGUUUUUUUGCAAACGUGGAAAAAAGAAAAAUUAAUUAAUUAACAGCAACAACAAGUAACAGUACAAGCAUGGUUAAGCGACAACUAUUAAAUUCUACGUAAAUUCAGCCAAAACAAACAAGGAAAGAGAAGCAACAACUACAACAAAGAACUUAGUCUGCUUUACAGAAAUAGGAAGAAAAAUAUUGCAGGGGUGACAGCCGAGGCACAGCAGACAGAAGCGAGUUAAGGCAUGUUUCUCAGUUCAAACCUGCUUGAGGGAAACUCUGAAUUGAAACAAACAGUUUCAAAGAUAAAUAGCAAACAGACUUGAAUGGAGAUUCAAGCAAGAACUUAUCCGAAAAAAGUCAAUUCGAUAAAGAUCGAGUUUCAUAUUAGGUUCUAGUGCUGCAAUCAUGGUAGUCGUUGGAAUUCGGCUUUGCUAGCUGAGAGCUCAAAUAAUCCCUAAAGCAAAUGUUUAGUUGCAGGUGAAACGUUUUAUGAAACCCCUGUUAAAAGAGAAAUCGAGAAACAAGCUUAGAAAGUAGGGUCAACCAGCCCCUAAAUUCUAAAUUCUAGGUCAUAAAUAUUUUCCCAAGCUAGCCUCACUUCGCUCAUCAUUACAGCCCCCCCCCCCAGCCCUCAGGCCAAAUUUUCCAACCUUGGCAACUGUUACAUUUCAUUUCACUGCAAGAAAAGACCGAAGCAAAUAAGAAUGAAUUUUGUAACAGUAGCAUGUGAUAUCCGCAAGUAGCUCGGUCAGACAUUGUUUACAAUUUCAGUUUGCUUGCAAAGUGCAGCUUAAGACCACGGGGUAGUCGGAUGUGUAUGCAAAAGGCAGGGACACAAAGCAAGAGAUUCAUCCACAUAUUAGAUGAUCCUAAACCAAACGAUGAAUUUAUUGCCAUAAUCUGAGGUGUUUUGAAGAUUAAAAUGAUAUCAUCGUGUUUGUAGGCGGUAGAUCACAUACGCAACAGUAAUUAAAUUACCGAAUUUUACUUGCCCACCAUUAUUGAGCAACUACUGCUCGUACAUUGCAGAUUCAAGAGCAACAGUGAGAGGGUGUCUUGGUCUCAUGUAUGCCCAUUACCACUCAAGUUUCUCCAAAUUUCAAAUAAUACUUUUAUUCAGAGGCAGUAUGUUUAAGGAAUUGAGGGCAUUCUUUAAAAAAUGCAAAACAUCAGCUUUCGGACUUUUAGCUUUAGGCCUAAUGCAAUCACCAGCUUGAAGCAUCAAAACUCCCAACAGAUGCUUCCUUCAACCAAAGCAGAAAUAAAUUUGCUUAACAACAUUCUUCUGUAGAAAACUUUAUUGCAGUUGCCUCUAAAUAACAGGCAUCUAAAUUGAGUAAAUGUCAGUUAAGAAAGAAAGAAUGAAAGAAAGAAAGAAAGAAAGAAAGAAAGAGAAAGAAAGAAAGAAAGAGAAAGAAAGAAAGA